rnacentral:rRNA from 1 species
UACGUAGGGGGCAAGCGUUGUCCGGAAUCAUUGGGCGUAAAGAGCUCGUAGGCGGCUCAGUAAGUCGGGUGUGAAACCUCCAGGCUCAACCUGGAGACGCCACCCGAUACUGCUGUGGCUAGAGUCCAGUAGGGGAGUGUGGAAUUCCCGGUGUAGCGGUGAAAUGCGCAGAUAUCGGGAGGAACACCAGCGGCGAAGGCAGCUCGCUGGGACGGUACUGACGCUGAGACGCGAAAGCGUGGGGAGCAAACAGG